CACACACACACACACACACACACACACACACACACACACACACACACACACUGCCCAGCCCUGACUGGCUCUGCACUUAGCCACUGCUGUGUUUCCAACAACACGUAUCACAUUGGUGACGCCCUCUUGCCCUGCAACAGCCUUUAAGAUUCUUUGUCAGCAUUUCACUACUGUUGGGGGAGCCCUUAAGACUGAAGGAAUCAGGGCUGGAGAGAAGGCUCAGUGGUUAAGAGCACUGGCUGCCUUUCCAAUGAUCCAGUUCGAUUCCCUGCACCCACAUGGCAGCUCCCACCUGUCUGUAAUUCCAGAAGGAAGGAAGAUUAAGGAAGGAAGGAAGGAAGGAAGGAAGGAAGGAAGGAAGGAAGGAAGGAAGGAAGGAAGGAAGGAAUGAGUCCUGAGACCACAGCUACCCAAAUCAGGAAGGGAUGCACCAGGACCAACAGGAAAUUGCACCUCAUCAUGGACAACAGCAAAAGCACAGGGCAGAAACAGCGGCCUGCUCUCCUGACUCUGCGUGUACCCUGUGUAUCCUCAAACAAGCCAUCUACAAAACCUACUGGUCACUGGUAAUGAGACAGAGCGGCCUUGUAGAUAAAAAGGGAGGACAUAUCAAGUGCUCACGGCAGGGAGAGAGGCGUGUCACUAAUUCCACACGUGGACAAGACACAAGAGUGGGCCGGCUGCUGUGCUGCCUCCCUCAAUGAGGGUAGUCCGAACCCCAUGGCUACAGGAACCCCAAGGGGACAACUGACUUCAUCAUGGACACUUCUCCCCUUUUCUCUACACCAGGACAGGUCUUGAUGUCUGUCAACAAGGCUUUCAGUGCCCUGCCCCACCCCAUCACACCCCACUAACUCCAUACCCCACAGCCACGCAAGUCUGCUUCCUCCAAAUCAAGGACACAGCCCAUAUCUUCUUUGAUCCACUCCCACGAAGCCUCUGGCCUGACUGGAACUUACAGAAAUAAUCUAGGUUGUGUGAAGGAUGGUGGAUGUCUUGAAUAGCCAGGCACCAACACCAGAAUUGUUGCAGUUCAGCCUUGCAAAUGACCAGAGUGAGAUGCCGUGACCAUUAGACACACCGCAGACAAGUAAAUGGAAACUUGAUAAAGCCAAGAGUGACGACAUAUCAAACUUCUAAGAACCAGUAUAUAGGGCUGGAGAGAUGGCUCAGAGGUUAAGAGCACCGGCUGCUCUUCCAGAGGUCCUGAGUUCAAUUCCCAGCAACCACAUGGUGGCUCACAGCCAUCCGUUAUGAGAUCUGGUGCCCUCUUCUGGUGUGCAGAUAAACAUGGAAGCAGAAUGUUGUAUACAUAAUAAGUAAAUAAAAUCUUUAAAAAAAAUAAAGAAAGAACGAGUAUAUAGAAGGUUUACUCACCAAUUCUGUGCUUUCUCUGCUAUGCCAGAGAUCACCAAUGCGAACCAUACAGGCCAUCUGGACCAGAACAGCUGGGGAUGUUUUAAAACACCGUCUCUCGCAGUCGUGGUCAUGACUGGCACAGUGCAGUGUGAGGAAAGUGUCUUGUAGCCAUGGCACUAGCACCAGAUCUGUCACACAGGCUCACUGUGCCUCGGUUUCCUUACUUGAAAACUUGACACCGGUGUUUUAAUACACAUGGUACGAUUAGGAGAUUCAGAGAGAAUGGACUAGAUUGUGUGUGGGGAGUCAACAAAGGUGCUUAAAAUGGAAUUGUCACCAUUUCUUUUUAUGAUAUGAUGCCAAAAAAUGACACAGAAACGGGGAGGGAAUCUGUCAGUGUCGCUGAAGGAAAAGUCAAAGGGCAGAAUUCCAAAGGACAGGGAGCGGUCGAAUGACCUUUCUUGGUUUCUAUGCUGGAUUUUGUGUCACUGUUAUUCCUCAGGAAAUGUCACCAGAGCCGUUGUUGGAACAGGGUGUGUCAUCUGCUGGGAGUUUGACGUCAGGAUCCUGAGGUGAGAGAGAGAUGGUAACUCCAUCUUGCUCAAGCUGCUAACCCUGUUCUCCAAGAAGGGAACUGCAAUUGCUCACAAUGGCCACCAGGGGGAGGCAAAUAGAGCUGCGUGAGGAAACCAGAGUUCUUAACUAAGGUGAUUGGCACUAGUCACUUUGGUUGCUCCCAUGCUGCUCCCUUUCUUGUAAAUGCCUGGCUCCAGCCCUUUAGCCAAUUGUCAGCUUCCCAAAUGACUUCUUUGUAGUCUAACCAACGUAAGCCCUGGAGGAUGGGAGAGCCAAGGACACCAACACUGUGCAGCUGACCUGAGGUGAUUCUUGACUGGCACUGUCUAGCCUCCCCGGGUCUCCACCCUGUUUCUCCAGCACAGCCAUCCAUUCUGUGACUUCCAGAUAGACCUCCAGGCUUACAGCCUCCUUCCGCAGCUUGCACAACGGCAGAAGCUGCCAGACGCUCCCCAAUCCUGUUUCCUCUUUUCCCCAGGCACGCAAGACCACCGAAUCUCCCUUGCAGUCAGCUCAGGACAACUGUGGCCAAAGGGAGCUCAUCACGGCCUCUGACCUAUUGCUACACUUUCUCUUCCCCUUCCACAAUGACUUCAAAAGCUCCUUGGUUAAGGCGACAGUCGCAAAAUGGAAGGGGCCAGGUCCUCAAGUCCUGCUUGUUGAGAAGAAACACCCCCAACCGCACACACCUAGCAUCAAAGCAUAAAAAUAAUUGUAAGGCCACCAAGAAUGGAGGGGAGGUGGCAUCAGAAUCUGGAGUCUAACACUUUGACUAACACCAGCCAUAACCCUUGGCCAACCCAAUUCCCAUCAUCACUGGCACAGCUGUUACUGGCAUGGUUACUGUUAGUACAGUAGCUGUUCAAAUAGCCUCAGUGGUAGUGUUAUGAGGUAAAGACCCAAAGACCACUCAGCCUGACCAAAGUUCAAGUUGAGAAUCUUUAUUGAGCAGGCUGGUGACUGCCUGGAGAGAAACACUUCCCACAGAGCAUGCCCAAAUGCAUUCUACGGGGAGCUUUUAAAGACAAAGAGCACGGGAAAGCUACACCCUGCUUGGCAGUUGCAGGGGGGAGCAAGCAAGCAGUUUCACAGGAGACAAGAAUGUGCGGUUAAUGAUAGCCAGCUCUGGAUUGUUCCUUACACCUAACGCAGUGUCAGCACAACGAGCAUGGUGGUGAUGCUUCGCUGUUUAGAGAAUAUUGGCGUUCACUAGGGAUGCCGUGUUCCCUGGGCACUGUCUGAGUAUUUGGAGUCUACAGAUUCAGAAGCAAUGGAUUUGUAAGGCCGCCUGAACUCCAUGGCUACAGUGAGACCACUCAAGAUGGUCAAGGGUUUUGUUUGUGUGACACUCUGCACUCACCAGAUGUUGAACACAGAGAACCGUGCUGCUGUUGGGGUGCAUAGACGGUUGUGACAAAGUCCAAUGGCGUGUCUCUGGAGUACAACAACUGUUUCCCUGAUCUGACCUCCACUCUUCUCGUAACUGCAGGAAUUUAUAAGGUUUUGUUGAUCUCACUGAAUCCUGAAAUCCUCACUGAAACCUUGUAUCCAUUAGGAUAAUCUAUACCCCACCCCGCCGCCGCUCGGUUCUCACUCCCACCCCAGUACCCACCUAGCUACUCACCUACAAGGUGGAAAUGAUCGCACCUGCCUCAGCGUGAGGCCUGGAAACAAAUCCGUAGCCACAGAGCAGGCUCCUGAAUGGAGCCUCUGUCUGUCCCUUGUCAUGACUUCCCCUGACAGUAGGUGACAGCCCAGCUAAGCACCGGGGCAGCAGCUGCUGCUGCUGUUGUCUGUCUCAGGCUCGAUGGGAACUGAGGGUGCGGGAGAGAGGGGUGUGCCGGCUUCUUGAUCUGCAGAGAUGCCCUGAGGAGUCAGCUGCCAGCGCAGGCUCGAGCAAUCCAACCGCGAGAUCCAAAUGCGCUCGUGAUCAGUCUGCAGCUUUAGCCAUCUUCUAGGGAACUGGGACACAGUGGUCCCCAGGUUUCAUACCUACCACCUUUGUAAUGUUUAACCAUUUAUCUCUUAACAUCUUCUAACGUUCAAUAUUCCUUCUUAAGAAUAUAGUUAGCCAAUUAGUGUUCCUCAUCUACGGAUUUCAACAAACACCGCAGAAAAUAUGGGGAAACAAUUAUGUCAGUGCUAAUAUGCCAUGGGCCCUCUUUACCUCUAGCUCAGGCUGAAUGGGCUGAUCCUGUCUCCAUGAGCUCUCACCAAGCCUUAGACUGUCACCCCUCUCCAGCGUGGCUGGAGAAUGAAUGCCUCAAACUGAUUGAUACCUUGCUCCUGUCUUAGAUACUUCCCUAAUGUUGGAAUUAAAGGUGUGAGCUAUAAUUCUCUUUCAGACUGAUUCAUUCUUGUGUAGAUCUGGGUGGCCUUGGACUCAGAGAAAUCCAUCUACCUCUUGAUCUGGAAUCCUAAGAAGAAAGGUGUGUAGCACCACCUCCUAGCUUCCGGUUGCCGGGAUUAAAGGUGUGUAUCACCACUGCCUGAUCUCUAUAGCUUGAGGCUGACCUUGCUUUUCUGAAUCCUCAGUCAAGCUUUAAUAAAUCAUAAAUAAUACAUCAUUACACACUGAUGUGUGGGAACUUGGCCAUUCAGUCUAGUGACCCUAUGGAGUAGGUUGGCCCUAUGGGUACUGUCUUCUCUGGGUACAUGACUGGAUGAGAACUGAGGACCAAGGGUCACACGCUCUCCUGGACCAUGUAAGAGCUGGCAGGGCUACAUCUUGGUUUGCAUCCCCUUUGGAACAGCAGCCGUGGCAGCAGGAAUGGUGAUAGUGUUAUCAGCUGGACCUGCAACUUUGUUCUGUCCUGUGACUGUAGAGCUUUGAUUUCC
rnacentral:lncRNA from 1 species